rnacentral:rRNA from 1 species
AUGAAGAAGAAUGCCUCUCCUGGACCUGAUGGAUUCAAUGUGGGUUUCUACCUUUCGGCUUGGAGUUGGAUAGGAGAUGAUGUGACCAAUUUGGUAAGAAAUUUCUACACCACGGGUAUUGUUCCGCCUCAUCUCAAUGAUACUCAAAUUGCCCUCAUUCCGAAGAAACUUGCUUCGCAUCUGCCUUCUGACUUUCGGCCCAUAAGUUUGUGUAAUGUUGUUUACAAAAUCAUUGCUAAAUCUUUAGCCAAUAGGUUGAAAGGACAUUUGCCUGAUUACAUUCACCCCUCUCAGCAAGCUUUCAUUGAAGUUAGGCGCAUAAGCAAUAAUAUUAUUGUCGCCCAAGAAAUUGCCCACUCAUUCUCUCUUGCUUCUUGGAAGAGCCUUGAUUUUGUACUGAAAAAUGACCUUGCCAAAGCUUUUGAUAGAAUUGAUUGGCACUUCAUUGUCUCGGCUCUUGCUCGUAAAGGUCUCCAUGGCCAUUUCAUAAAACUUGUUCAUGCAUGCAUUUCAUCCUCAACGUUUUCAGUGAUCAUUAAUGGUCAAUCUUUUGCAAAAUUCAAUAGUUCCAGAGGCAUUAGACAGGGAUGUCCUUUGUCACCGUAUCUUUUUGUCCUUGCAGUAAAUGAGUUAUCUCUUAUGUUACAGGAUGCCUUGCAAGCUAAUCACCUGACAGGUAUUUUGCUUGGACCAAAUUGCCCUCCUAUUCACUCUUUGAUGUUUGCAGAUGACCUGAUUGUUUGUGGCAAAGCUAAUGUGCAGGAAGAAGCUAAUACUAUUUUACAGCUUUUAGACCAUUUUUGUUGUGAUUCAGGGCAAACUCCAAACUGGAGUAAAUCUGGUAUCUUAUUCAGCAAUAAUGUUACGAUGCAGGUUAAACAAGAUACUAAGAGAAUCUUUCCAGCUCACAUCGACAGUUCUUUCGUCCAUUUAGGCCAUCCACUUGUUUUACCUUCUAAAGAUAGAUCAGCUGCUUAUAACUUUGUUUACGAUAAAUUCAAGUCCAAACUUAGCACAUAUAAAGCCAACAGACUCUCUCAUGCGGCAAGAUUAACUCUCAUAAAAUCCGUUUUCUCUUCCAUUCCUGUAUAUUACAUGUCCAACAUACUUUUUUCAAAAAAGUUCCUUGCUAAACUAACAACAAUCAUUAUGAACUUUUGGUGGACAGGUAUUCAAGAUGAUCAGACUACUAGAAGCUUGUGCCUUAGGGCAUGGGCUGAUGUAUGUAUUGAGAAGAAAAUUAAUGGUCUUGGUGUUAGAAAUUUGCAGGCAAUCAACCAAGGACUUGUUCUCUUGACGGCAUGGAGAUUGGCAAAAGAGUCGCAAAGUCAGCUAGCAUUGAUUCUCAAGGCAAAGUAUCAUCAUGAUACAUCCAUUUGGAGAGCCCGGCCGAACAAACCUAAAUCUGCCUUUUGGUCUGCAAUUCUAAAGGUAAAGCCUCUUCUAAUCUCAGCCACAAUUUGCCAAAUUGUUGAUGGUGCUAGUUCUAUUUGGAGCUCGCCUUGGUUUUCCGGAUGGGAAACUAUUUAUGAUCAUUUUAUCAUUCAGCAAAAAUCUUUUUCUUACCCUGCACAAGUUAAAGAUCUUUGGAUACCGGGUCAAAAGAACUGGAAUGCAAACUUGAUUAAUUCUCUUUUCACUCCUGAAUUGGCUAAUACCAUUCUACAAACUCCUAUUAUUAAGGCAAAUGGUAAGGAUAUGUUGGUUUGGAAACUAACUCCUGCAGGUGAAUUCUCUUCCAAAAGUGCUUACAAGCACUACUUCAACAAUCUUCAGCUUCCACCAAGGCAAAGGCCCAAAAUUGUUCCUAUGCAGGUCAUUUCCCUUCUUAAUCAGGUGUGGGAGGAUAAACAAAUGGCACCAAGAGUUUAG